CCGGCAGCGUCAUCCCCAGAAGAAACGUCGGCGUCAUCAUGUUCUUCAGGCCAUGCUUCUUGAAGCCACGGUACAGCUCUCCCCAGAUCCCGUCGCCGCCUUCGUCUUCGUGAUACUUACCCAUCUUUCCGUACAGGUGGCGGAUGGUCAGCUUCAGGGAACCAGGCGCUGGCGUCCUCGUACGGCACUGGAGGGUUGCUGAGGACCGGAGGACCGCGACCGAAACCCGGUGGUUUCGUGUAGAUCACCUCCACGGGAGCCUUCGGCUUGAAAGGACCUGGAAGGACGUUAAGGAGACCAAAGAUGAGACAAUAAGUACUGUCGCUGAAUUCAAUUGGCUCUUUGGAUCAUCUUAAGAAGUUCAGCGCAACGUGGUACCAAGAGAAUCCCCCUAAUUAGUUGGCAUCGCUCCAAGAUUCUAAUCGAGUUACCUCUCCACGAGUGACGCAACUUUUAAUCACUACUCAUAACUCCGUCGUUAACGAGCACGGUUCGUUAACCCUUCGAAGCCUGAUUUUCCAAAUUAAAUUUAAGAAGAUAUCAAAUAAUUGUUAUAGCUGACGUUUAUUUUCUUUAACUUUUGUUCUAAAGAACAUUACGCAACGGUAACAUACAUGCAGCCAAAUAUUACGUCAUCUCAUAAGUUCGUGCUGCAAACCGAGUCAAUAUUUAAUAAAUAAUCUGCAGAAAAUUGAUUGAAACUUAGGGGAUUUAAGGGUUAAGAAUCCUUGUGUAAACAGGGAGGCACAUUCCG